UUCAACCCAGGCCAUUCUAUGAUUCUGUGGUUUAGGAAGAGAGCUGAUGAGUGCCAUGCUGGAGCCCUGAUCUGCAUGGACAACGUCAGAGUUGCAUAAUGACCUGACCAAGGCUCACACCGAGCAGUUUGUAAGAGAUGACUUUCAGAUGAAUCAAAAGGCAGCCUCCCCUUCCCACGCUGACCUCCUUGGCCAGCCUGUUUGGAGCUGCCCUAAGCUGAAAAUCUCAUCUAUCUUUUACCAUUACAUUUUCAAAAGACUGUGGGUUGAAAAGAACAAAGAAAAGCUACCAUUAAAGUCUGGCUCAGCUACUAUCGUCUCUUGCUGGUUUUGGAAACAAAGUAAAGAGAUGUCAGUGGAACAUUUCAGCUCACUGUCAUUAAUACAGUUGGGCUGUCCUGGAAGAAUGGCUCCCUCGAAAUUCAGAACAUAGUUUCUCUGGCUUUCUAGGUAAAACCAAUCAGAUCCCAGACUGAGCAGGGGAACAAGGCAAAGAAAUGGUGGAAGAAAAUGAGACUUUUAGCUACACCACACAAAACAUCUGAAGCAGCAGAGGUGCAGGAAAAUUAGGAGGUGUGCCCAAAGCUACCUUGGGCAGGGAACACAGGCAGGAGCUGACAGCACACUUGCAAGGCCCACUCCUCCCUCCGAGGCACACAACUGAUUGGGGAAGGUUGGCUCUGCACUCUGGAUUUCACUGGUUCUUGUGUUCCCAGUUCAUACUGGGAUGAGUAGGCAAGAGCAAAGGACGUAGCCAUUGGCACGGCGGUACUACUGGGAAGCACUGCAGUGAAAGCUGUACUUCUCUGCCCUGGCCAAGAACCACAGUUCUGAAGAUUUCCUAUGGGCUUUUUCAAUCUUUGCACUCCAAGAUUCUGAGGCGAGUGAUGAGCUCACCAAUGUUGGUAAAAAUGAAUUUGAAAGUCUAACUGGUUAUCACUGGAUAUCACAGAUGGAGAAUAAUUACUUCACAGAUUGGCAAACUGAGAUUAUCUGCAAAUAUUAUGAGAGACAUUGGAAGCUCUUCUAAAACACGCCAUUAUUUUAAAUAGCAUUUUGCAAUUGUGGUACCUCCCUUGUGGAUACUGUGGCUGAAUAUUGCAAGUAUGAAAAACAAUGCCAUAGUUGAAGGUUUGUCGCUGAAAAGCACCACCUCGUGUUUCCUACACCCCGCUUCCCACAGCAAGACUUAUUCUAGAGUAGAAAAUAAAUGAAGAGGUUACCAAGAGGCAGACGGUUAAACCUUUUGCCUUGAGAUGUGCUCCUUCUCCCAUUAUUGGCCUUCAUCUUCUGAGCUCAGCUUACAGAGAGCAGUGUUGGCUCCUUGUACUCCACACAGCCCUCACUCACCCCUUUUGAUGUCAGCUGAAAGGGUGCUGUUGAAUUGGAGAGGACCCGUACAGAAGACAGCAGUUCCUGGAGUCCUACAAGACUCUGUCAGGGAGAUCUUGGUAUUUUACCUCAUACCUUCUUCAAAAAUGAUAAACCAGAAGACAAGUAAACUGUGUUACAACAUGAAGGAUAAAAUCCAUAAUUCAGGACAGCACAGAAAGCACCUGGUUUCGUGCUUCAUUUCCAUUUCUAAACAUAGAAGAGAUUCACAGAAGCAUCUGCUGAGCUUUUGAAUGACUUUGGAUCAGCCGUAAGUGCCUGUAUGCCAAAAGCAAACCAAACACACACAUGAAAACAGGCAAAUUGCAGUGACACAGGUCAGUUUACAUCCCAAACCGAUAGCAAGUCUGCUUUGGUGACGAAUGCACCCAAUAGAAAGAAUGCAGAAACUUUGCAUGUUCUUCACAACAUGAGAAUGCUGAACAUUAAACAGUUGCAAAAAAUAUGUACUUAACCUUUGGGUUUUAUAUCUCUGCUUUUCAUUCUCUCCGCUUAUAGAUAAGGACAGUCAGAUUAGAUGGAGAUUUGCAAGUGGUAAAAGACGUUGUUGUUCAAGGAAUAGUUUCUAUUCGUUAUGGUAAAUACUUGGUCAAAGCAAAACUUGAGAUUUUGGGAUAGCCACGUUGUGUGCCGAGAUCACUGAGUUACAGCCUGAGGGCCACAGCAAAAUCAGGGGAAAUUUCAGAGAGCAGAUCAGACCUUUUGGAGUGUCGUUGACUGUACAGAAGAAAUGUCUUCAUUUGCUUGGUUUGAAGGGCUCCCAGGGAAAAAAAAAAAAAAAGUUUAUAUAUAUUACCUGGAGUACAGAAAUAAUGAGAAAUGUCAAUCUUGCUCUCUGCUUGCCUGGGGGAUUUUCUUCUCCUCAGAGGGGUGCAAUAUUCACCUCUGCUGGCUAUCUGAUAAAGAAGAAUAUGUGGUUAGACUGGAAUCACUUCUAAGCUACCAGAGCCAGGAUGAGUCAGCCGAACCUGUCGAAGGUGAUGUCAUUUGUCACCCUCCAGACAUGAAAAAGUGGACAUCCGCCUGGACCUGCCACCACCCACCACAGACACCACUGGAGUCCAUGUCGGGUCACAGCCCUCAAACCUAACGGGAUUUGCUGCAAGCGUCAGCAUAAGGCACACUAAUAAAAGAGCAGCCACUGCUGCAGGUCCUUUCUGCUAGCAUUACUGCAGUGGCUGUGCUGAUUUCCCACUGUAGGAUGGUGGGAGAUGCUGAAAGGCAAAGAAUCCGGCCUUGUUGCUGGUGCUGGUGCUGUCAGUGAGUCACCCAGCUGCCUCAGCUGAAAAUUAGUCUCCCAGCCUCUCCAGUCCUGAUGAAUAUUGAUGAACUUCAUGGCAUUGAAAGAACCAAACGCAGGACAGCUGUCUGAAGGGACAAAUGCUUCUGCUCUGGAUUGGGAAAAAAGGAACAGACCCAGACAGGGGAGUGGCUGUGACGAGCCAAGACAGUCUUCUCCCUCAUUUGUCAAAAUGUGAUUUGCAGACACACUUCCAUUCACCCUGUGGCUGCCAUUUUCCACAUCCUAUGUCCACAAAUCUCUCUUGCUAAUUUGAUAGGCAAUAUGUUGGCUGCCUCCUCUAUAAAAAGCCUCUCUGAACUGGGAUGCUUCCCAGCUCAUUUUAAUAAAUCAUGACUGUAAUUAAAUUCUUUUGCUGCAUAUUUCUGCAAUAAAAUCCAUAUCAU
ensembl:lncRNA